GAUGAAGAACGUAGCGAAAUGCGAUAAGUAAUGUGAAUUGCAGAUUUCCAGUGAAUCAUCGAAUCUUUGAACGCACAUUGCGCCCCCUGGUAUUCCGGGGGGCAUGCCUGUCCGAGCGUCAUUGCUGCCCUCAAGCACGGCUUGUGUGUUGGGCCCCGUCCUCCGAUUCCGGGGGACGGGCCCGAAAGGCAGCGGCGGCACCGCGUCCGGUCCUCGAGCGUAUGGGGCUUUGUCACCCGCUCUGUAGGCCCGGCCGGCGCUUGCCGAUCAACCCAAAUUUUUAUCCAGGUUGACCUCGGAUCAGGUAGGGAUACCCGCUGAACUUAAGCAUAUCAAUAAGCGGAGGA
rnacentral:misc_RNA from 1 species